GCCUCGGUGGCUUCGAGGCAGAGCGCCUGCAUACUGAUCCCCAGGUAGCGGGUUCGAAUCCCGUUUGAGGUG
rnacentral:tRNA from 1 species